CCAUAGAGACAGCGGGCCAUAGGGCAACCGGAAGGUUUCCAGUUCCGGUGUAACAUUCGGGCUGCGUCUCAGAGACUGAAGUUUGUGAGGUGUAGUAUUUUGUCCGAUUUGAGCUCUCGUUCUCCAUUUCCUCCAAAGUGGUGCUGUCUAAGCGGGAGCUGGAGGAGCGGGAACCAUGGCUAGAGAAGACAGGGAGGAGAGCGCUGGGUUUCUCAGAACCUAUGGUGGUUACAACAGCGGUGAACUGUGUGGGGAAGGGCAUGGACAAAAAGACGGAGGCUGAUCACCUGGAACCUUUCCUUGAUGAUUCCACGCUCCGAUUUGUGGAUUAGCUGUUUGAAGCUGUGGAGGAAGGCCGAAGCUCAAGACGUUCCAAGUCUAGCAGUGACAGAAGCAGAAAACGAGAGUUAAAGGAGGUAUUUGGUGAUGACUCUGAGAUCUCAGGGAAUCAUCAGGGUAAAGAAACGGCGAAUACCCCAUUUGAGGAGCUAGAAGAGGAGCCAGAGGUGAUCCCUGGACCUCCGUCAGAAAGCCCUGGCAUGCUAUCGAAGCUCCAGAUCAGACAGAUGAUAGAGGCAGCCACAGGACAAAUCGAGGAACGGAAAAAACAGCUGAGCUUCAUCAGCCCCCCUGCACCUCAGCCAGAGACACCUUCUUCUUCCCAAUCAGAGCGACUUCUAAUCGCCAACACUAUUCAGCCCUCCUGGGCCGCUACCUUUAUGAAUGAUGCCUUUGAAAAGGCAAGGAAAGCCGCUGAACUGCAAGCCCGAAUCCAGGCCCAGCUGGCGUUGAAGUCAGGGCUUAUUGGCAAUGCCAACAUGGUGGGCCUAGGUAAUCUCCAUGCCAAGUGUAUAGCUCCACCGAAAGUAGAGUUAAAAGAUCCGACUAAACCUACCCCACUGAUCCUGGAUGAGCAAGGCUGCGCUGUGGAUGCCACAGGCAAGGAGGUGGAGCUCACACAUCGCACGCCCACCCUGAAGGCAAACAUUCCGGCUAUGAAGAGGGAACAGUUCAAGCAGCAACUAAAAGAAAAGCCAUCAUAAGUCAUGGAAUCUAAUACCCCUUUUGAACCCGGAGUCUCCAUUGCUCCUUCCCAGUGCCAAAGACACACUUUUAAAUUCCAUGACAAGGGCAAAUUUGAGAAGAUUGCUCAACGAUUACGGACAAAUGCCCGACUGGAGAAGCUGCAAGCAGAGAUUUCACAGGCUGCUAGAAAAACAGGCAUUCAUACUUCAACUAGACUUGCCCUCAUUGCUCCUAAAAAGGAGCUAAAGGAAGGCGAUAUCCCUGAGAUUGAGUGGUGGGACACAUACAUCAUACCCAAUAGCUUUGACCUUACAGAGGAAAAUCCCAAGAGAGUAGAUUAUUUUGGAAUCACAAGUCUUGUUGAACAUCCAGCCCAGCUUAGCCCUCCAGCUGACGACAGUGAUACACCAGUUAUCCUUGGGGUAUAUUUACAAAGAAGGAGCAGAAGAAACUUCAGAGGCAAACAAGGAGGGAGGCAUAGAAAGAGCUACAAGAGAAAGUCAGGCUAGGCCUGACACCUCCCCCAAAGCCCAAAGUGAGAAUCUCAAAUUUAAUGCAAGUAUUAGGAACAGAAGCAGUUCAAGACCCUACAAAAAUAGAAGCCCAUGUCAGAGCUCAGAUGGCAAAGAGACAGAAAGCACAUGAAGAGGCCAACGCUGCCUGAAAACUUACAGCAGAACUGAGAAAGGUCAAGAAAAUCAAAAAGCUUAAAGAAGACAUUUCAAAGGGGUGCACAUAUCUGUGUACAGAGUUCAAACUUUGAGCAACCCAGCCAAGAAGUUCAAGAUUGAGGCCAAUGCUGGGCAGCUGUACCUGACAGGGUUGAUGGUGCUGCACAAGGAUGUUAAUGUGGUGGUAGUGGAAGGGGACUCCAAAUCCCAGAAGAAAUUUAACUAUCUCAUGCUACAUCAGACAAAGUGGGAUGAGCAGAAAUCUAACACCAAGGGAGAUGAUGAUGAGGAAUCCAAUGAAGAAGCUGUGAUGAAAACUAACAAAUGUAUACCAGUGUGGGAAAGUACAGCCAUAGAUAUGAAGUUUAAACAGUGUCCUAUAGAGAACAUGGCCCAUGAGCAUUUGAAAAAGCAUGGGCAUGGGGCUGAACACUUCUGGGACCUUGCACUGGGUGAAUGUGUGUUGGAGUCCACUGACUGA